rnacentral:rRNA from 1 species
CCUACGGGUGGCUGCAGUCGAGAAUCAUUCACAAUGGGGGAAACCCUGAUCGUGCGACGCCGCGUGGGGGACUGAAGUUCUUCGGAUUGUAAACCCCUGUCAUGUGGGAGCAAAUUAAGAAGAUAGUACCACACGAGGAAGAGACGACUAACUCUGUUCCAGGAGCCGCGGUAAUACAGAGGUCUCAAGCGUUGUUCGGAAUCCCUUGGCGUAAAGCGUGCGUAGGUUGGUCCGUAAGUCGUGUGUGAAAGGCGCGGGCUUAACCCGCGGACGGCACAUGAUACUGCGAGACUAGAGUAAUCGAGGGGGAAGCGGAAUUCGCGGUGUAGCAGUGAAAUGCGUAGAUAUCGAGAGGAACACUCGUGGCGAAGGCGGGUUCCUGGCGACGAACUGACGCUGAGGCACGAAGGCGAGGGGAGCGAAAGGGAUUAGAUACCCCGGUAGUC